GCACAGGCCACAGAGGGGUGGGGCACAGUGUCUGCUUUUUCUCUGGGCGUAGCCCAGGAUUUAGACUCCAGGGAGCUCCCUCAGUUGGGCUCAGAACCUGCGAGGAUGGCAGCGGUGUCCAGCAGUGAAGACUGAAGGUGUCCACAGCUGUGAUAGGGGCUUCUGGGUCCUCUUGCUUGCUUUUCUUCACAGGAAGAAGUCCCUCCUAGCUCCUAGGGGGUUUGAUUGUGAGCGGCAAGGGUGUGGCAGAGUAACCAAAUUCACCCUGUCUGUGGCAAACAAGCGCCACCACUACCAUCCCAGAGUGCCACCAUCUGCACUGACUUGAGGAAUUCCAGUUUGAUGAUAGCAGUUUUCACCCUAACUCUUGACCAGUAAAGAACCACCAUGGAACGCUUCAAGGAUGCUGAGUGCUUCCUUCAUGAAUUUAUUUCCACAUCUUUGAUAAAGGGCAUAUUCUGUUAACCCUCCUCGAGGACACAGGAAGGGAGAAGAAUGAAGAAGAAAAAAGAAGGGAUAAUGCAGCAUGAAGGUCCUUGU
rnacentral:lncRNA from 10 species